UUCCCCUCCCCAUAUUACAGUAUAUACCCUGACCAUUCCCCUCCCCAUAUUACAGUAUAUACCCUGACCAUUCCCCUCCCCCAUAUUACAGUAUAUACCCUGACCAUUCCCCUCACCAUAUGUACAGUAUAUACCCNNNNNNNNNNUUGGUGGUCAUCAUAGUGGUCUCUGAUUGGUGGUCAUCAUUUGGUGUGUCAUCAUAGUGGUCUCUGAUUGGUGGUCAUCAUUUGGUGUGUCGUCAUAGUGGUCUCUGAUUUGUGGUCAGACUCCCUCAGGUGGAACAAAUUUAAACGUGCGCCUUUUAUUUCAAUGCUGAUUUGAAUGUCAUUGUGAAAACAGAGAAGGGUCAAAGAUCAUUUUUUUUCCCCAAACAGCCUUUCUGAAUUUAAAAGUAAUCCUCGAAGUAAUCAUCUAGCGUUUCAAAAGUAUCUGUAAUCUGAUUACAAUAUUUUAUCUGGUAAUUUAACGGAUUUCAGGCCCCGUUGUUUGUGUAUUUUACAUGUAAUCCGCUACUCCCCAACUUUGAUCUUUAGUGGUUUGACAGAUUCAAUACUCCAAAUAAACUCCAAAAACACAUUUACACAUUAAUACAAGUUUAUUUGGGAUGUUUUCAUUUCUCAACCUUUUUUUCCCAAGAUGAUACAUGGCACAUAAUAACAUGUAAACAAAUCAAAAUACAUUUUUAUUUGGGAUGUUUUCAUUUCUCAACCUUUUUUUCCCAAGAUGAUACAUGGCACAUAAUAACAUGUAAACAAAUCAAAAUACAUUUUUCCUAAAUUAAACUAAAAGAAUAGUAAUUGAGGCCCCUGAUCAACAUUAGGAACCUGUAACUAUGGCAACAUAGAACAGUAAUAUUCCCUACGUUUAGAUGAGUCAGAACUUGUUCAAUGUGCUUUCUGAUCCCAAAUGUAAUCCCUUACAAUGCAAUUUGCCCCAGAGUCAUAUACUUGUAUUCCUUUUUUCCUCCUUAUGAUUGGCCGGUUGAGGUCACCUGAUUCUACACUACCGUUCAAAAGUUUGGGGUAACUUAGAAAUGUCCUUGUUUUUGAAAGAAAAACACACUUUCUUUUGUCCAUUAAAAUAACAUCGAAUUGAUCAGAAAUACAGUGU
rnacentral:lncRNA from 13 species